rnacentral:SRP_RNA from 1 species
GGGCGGGCUCUGUACGGCGGGAUGCCGCGAACCAUGUCAGGCGGGGAACCGAGCAGCAUUAAGCGGAUUUUCCCGGGCGAUACAGGUGGUCUGUUCGUC